ACCGCACAAGCGGUGGAUGAUGUGGAUUAAUUCGAUGCAACGCGAAAACCUUACCUACCCUUGACAUGUCUGGAACCUUGCUGAGAGGCGAGGUGCCUUCGGGAGGCCAGAACACAGGUGCUGCACUGGCUGUCGUCAGCUCGUGUCGUGAGAUGUUGGGUUAAGUCCCGCAACGAGCGCAACCCUUGUCACUAGUUGCCAUCAUUUGGUUGGGCACUCUAGUGAGACUGCCGGUGACAAACCGGAGGAAGGUGGGGAUGACGUCAAGUCCUCAUGGCCCUUAUGGGUAGGGCUUCACACGUCAUACAAUGGUCGGUACAGAGGGUUGCCAAGCCGCGAGGUGGAGCCAAUCCCUUAAAGCCGAUCGUAGUCCGGAUCGUAGUCUGCAACUCGACUACGUGAAGUCGGAAUCGCUAGUAAUCGGCAGAUCAGCAUGCUGCGGUGAAUACGUUCCCGGGUCUUGUACACGACC
rnacentral:rRNA from 1 species